rnacentral:tRNA from 1 species
GAGACAGUAGCUCAGUUGGUAGAGCAGCUGGCUUUUAACCAGCGGGUCCUGGGUUCGAGUCCCAGCUGUCUCA